rnacentral:rRNA from 1 species
CCCUUAGAUGUUCUGGGCCGCACGCGUGCUACACUGAGUGGAUCAGCGGGUCAGGUUGCGCGAAAGUGUUUCCUAAUCUUUAAAUCAGCUCGUGAUGGGGAUUGACGGUUGCAAUUUUCCGUCAUGAACGAGGAAUACCUUGUAAGCGCGGGUCAUCAUCCCGCGCUGAAUACGUCCCUGCCCUUUGUACACACCGCCCGUCGCUCCUACCGAUUGAGUGGUCCGGUGAGGCUUUGGGAUCUGAGCGGAAAGAGCGUUUCGCUGUUUCUGCCCGGAAAACUCAGUCGAACCUUAUCAUUUAGAGGAAGGAGAAGUCGUAACA